AUGUGCGGGAACCUGAAAUCAAUCUCUUCAAAGUUCUGGUGGGGUGCAGCAAAUGGUGAAAGGAAAGUACAUUGGAUUUCUUGGGAUAAGAUGUGCAGGGCAAAGAGGGAGGGGGGCAUGGGUUUCCGGGAUCCGGAGGUGUUCAACCAAGCAUUGUUGGCUAAACAGGCGUGGAGAAUCUUGCAGAACCCUACCUCUCUCUGCGCCCGAGUUCUUAAAGCACGGUAUUUCUCUGAGGGAUCAAUUAUGACAGCUACGUGCCCAAGUGGGGGAUCAUACACCUUUCGAAGCAUUUUGCAUGGACGGGAU
rnacentral:rRNA from 1 species